rnacentral:rRNA from 1 species
GACGAACGCUGGCGGCAUGCCUAAUACAUGCAAGUCGAGCGAACAGAUGAAGUGCUUGCACUUCUGACGUUAGCGGCGAACGGGUGAGUAACACGUAAGGAAUCUACCUAUAAGCGGGGGAUAACAUUCGGAAACGGGUGCUAAUACCGCAUAAUAUCUUCUUCCGCAUGGAAGAAGAUUGAAAGACGGCUCUGCUGUCACUUAUAGAUGACCUUGCGGUGCAUUAGUUAGUUGGUGGGGUAACGGCCUACCAAGACGAUGAUGCAUAGCCGACCUGAGAGGGUGCUCGGCCACAUUGGGACUGAGACACGGCCCAAACUCCUACGGGAGGCAGCAGUAGGGAAUCUUCCGCAAUGGGCGAAAGCCUGACGGAGCAAUGCCGCGUGAGUGAAGAAGGCCUUCGGGUCGUAAAACUCUGUUAUAAGAGAAGAACGAAUUGUAGAGUAACUGCUACAGUCUUGACGGUAUCUUAUCAGAAAACCACGGCUAACUACGUGCCAGCCGCCGCCGUAA